UGGCUCAGUUGGUAGAGCAUGGCACUUGCAAUGCCAGGGUUGUGGGUUCAAUUCCCAC
rnacentral:tRNA from 1 species